CUACAAGGUGGGGAGAGGAACAAUCGCUAGCUAUGAGCCAGAGGGCGCCCCCCUUCCACAAGCGGUCAGAGACCCCGUUAAAGGACCGGUCAAUACCUCUAACCGCCUGGAACUGCUUUUGGCAGGAGACCACGCAGGCAGUCUAAACUUUAAUGGUGUGGCGUUUCCACAAAGCCCCACUGAUCAAAGCGCUAUUUGGAC